UAUAUUUAUAUAUAUAUAUAAUUGUUAUGCUAAUAAUUUUCUACAUAUUUGGAUUAACAAAUAUCUUUACCGUAGAUAUAACUGUAACAUUCAAAAACUUGUAAUUUUAAAAUUUUUUAUUAAUAAUAUUAACAUUUACAUAUACAUCAUGUAUAUUAUUUGUUUAUAUUAUUAUUAUUUAUUUAUUUUAGUUUUACAAAAUUGUAUGUAAACAUGUUGUAAAGCACCUUAAAAGACAAGCUUUACGUAUGUGCAUACAUGUGAAUCUGUGGAAAAUAAUUCAAGUGAAGGUAAACUCUUUCGCGCAAGAGAUCUCGAGAUCUCAAAAUUGAUUAUAACGAUUUUAAUCAAACUGGUCGCGAUUGAAAUCGCAUCAAUAUUAUAUAAUAAAAUAACCAUUAGAUUUUUUAUUAUAAUUUUAGUUUCUGAGAUAUUUUAACUGAAAGUGAAUUUGACAGCUAAAUUCCAGAUAAGGCUUAAUAAUAACGCCGCGAUAUUUGCGCAGUGAAGUUCGCCAUACAACACGGUUUGUUACGUAUUUGCUAUCGCGUCGCUACCGCGUUGUUUGAUUUUUAAGAAGUGUUCUGAUCUGACAUGAAAUAAUCCAUACAUCAGUUUCAUGGUGAACACUCUUAUAAAAAUCCUCCUAUCAGAAGUUUAAUGAAGCGUAUUUUUGUGCUGUGCCUUUUUUACCAUGUAGCUUGGUAUACAAUACGGAUAAACCACGAUUGGAGACUGAAAAUUGGCCCAAUAACCUAGCGCCUAGAGAGUCCUUUGUGCCCCAAAAUAGGAGAAUUUAGAAGAAAUUAAAAAUCUUUAUGUAUGGAUUAUGAAUUCAAACUCUGUCACUUACACGGGACCUACAGUUCUACAUCAGAAUGGAAUUAUUUAACGAAAAUGAAAUCCAAUGUGUCCAAAGGAUUUUAGGACCUAAGAUUUAAGACGCAUAACUCUUUACGCCACAACUGUAUACAUUUUAUUUAAUAUCAUCAUUUUAUUCAUGCAGAUCCAAAUUUUAUUCAAAUCUUUCAUAUAUGUUCGGCAACAUAUAAAAAUGAUAAGAAUGGAAAUUGCAUUCGGAACUUGCAAACUACAAGUCAACCGCUGUCACAGAGUGUUAUGAUAUAUAUAUAGGAUUUUUUAGGAUCUGUAGGACAAACUUUAAGAUGUAAUAAAUCUCAACAAACAAUUAAUUUUAUUAAUAAACUUAGGAAAGAAACUUUGUCAAAAUUUUUCUCAAUAAUUCUUUUAUGAAUUUAAUAUUUCUAACUUAUGUAAACCGCGCGUCAACACUGACUGUAUAAUGGGAUAAUGUGAAACUUUUGACUUCUAAAGAUCAAUCAUGUAACUUUUGGAAAUUUUUCACUUUUCACGCUGUAUCUAUUGCACAUUAACUUUUUUAUUAUUCGCAUGCUGUCACAUAUAACUCUGUACGUAAAAAGAACAAAUCACUGAAUAUAAUUAAUAUACGAAUAUCAAAAGAAA